AUACGUAAGGAGCGAGCGUUGUCCGGAAUUACUGGGUGUAAAGGGAGCGUAGGCGGGAGUGCAAGUCAGAUGUGAAAUACAUGGGCUCAACCCAUGGGCUGCAUUUGAAACUGCAUUUCUUGAGUGAAGUAGAGGUAAGCGGAAUUCCUGGUGUAGCGGUGAAAUGCGUAGAUAUCAGGAGGAACACCGGUGGCGAAGGCGGCUUACUGGGCUUUUACUGACGCUGAGGCUCGAAAGCGUGGGGAGCAAACAGGAUUAGAUACCCUGGUAGUCCACGCUGUAAACGAUGAUUACUAGGUGUGGGGGGACUGACCCCUUCCGUGCCGCAGUUAACACAAUAAGUAAUCCACCUGGGGAGUACGGCCGCAAGGUUGAAACUCAAAUGAAUUGACGGGG
rnacentral:rRNA from 1 species